rnacentral:rRNA from 1 species
CAGUCGCCGCGGGAAUACGUAGGUGGCAAGCGUUGUCCGGAAUUAUUGGGCGUAAAGGGCUCGCAGGCGGUUUCUUAAGUCUGAUGUGAAAGCCCCCGGCUCAGCCGGGGAGGGUCAUUGGAAACUGGGAAACUUGAGUGCAGAAGAGGAGAGUGGAAUUCCACGUGUAGCGGUGAAAUGCGUAGAGAUGUGGAGGAACACCAGUGGCGAAGGCGACUCUCUGGUCUGUAACUGACGCUGAGGAGCGAAAGCGUGGGGAGCGAACAGGAUUAGAUACCCCCGUAGUCCCUGUCUCUUAUAC